rnacentral:rRNA from 1 species
UACGUAGGGGGCUAGCGUUGUCCGGAAUCAUUGGGCGUAAAGCGCGCGUAGGCGGCCCGGUAAGUCCGCUCUGAAAGUCCAGGGCUCAACCCUGGAAAGCGGGUGGAUACUGCCGGGCUAGAGUCCGGAAGAGGCGAGUGGAAUUCCAGGUGUAGCGGUGAAAUGCGUAGAUAUCUGGAGGAACACCGGUGGCGAAGGCGGCAUCCUGGACCAACACUGACGCUGAGUGAGCGAAAGCCAGGGGAGCAAACGGG